rnacentral:rRNA from 1 species
UACGAAGGGGGCUAGCGUUGCUCGGAAUCACUGGGCGUAAAGGGUGCGUAGGCGGGUCUUUUAAGUCAGGGGUGAAAUCCUGGAGCUCAACUCCAGAACUGCCUUUGAUACUGAGGAUCUUGAGUUCGGGAGAGGUGAGUGGAACUGGCGAGUGUAGAGGUGAAAUUCGUAGAUAUUCGCAAGAACACCAGUGGCGAAGGCGGCUCACUGGCCCGAUACUGACGCUGAGGCACGAAGGUCAGGGGAGCAAACGGG